GGCCCGCACAAGCGGUGGAGUAUGUGGUUUAAUUCGAUGCAACGCGAAGAACCUUACCAGGGUUUGACAUCCUGCGAAUCUCUUGGAAACAGGAGAGUGCCUUCGGGAACGCAGUGACAGGUGGUGCAUGGCUGUCGUCAGCUCGUGUCGUGAGAUGUUGGGUUAAGUCCCGCAACGAGCGCAACCCACGUCUUUAGUUGCCAGCAUUUAGUUGGGCACUCUAGAGAGACUGCCGGUGAUAAACCGGAGAAGGUGGGACGACGUCAAGUCAUCAUGGCCCUUACGGCCUGGGCUACACACGUGCUACAAUGGCUAGGACAGACGGCCGCAAACCCGCGAGGGGAGCCAAUCCGACAAACCUAGUCGUAGUCGGA
rnacentral:rRNA from 1 species